rnacentral:lncRNA from 1 species
ACCCGAUUUCUUUCUUUUUCAGGAGAGAGGAGCAGAAAUCCUACAGGGAGAUUUGCACCCCCUACCCCACCUUCCAGAGUUGUGGUCUGACCACCACACAGCACUCCUUUCAAGCAGGGACUUCAGGAAACAUCUGAUCCAUCUGAUCCGAUGCCUUUGAUCUUAGGCUUGGCUGAGGUAUGGAAGAAUGGAUUUGAACACCAGCGCCAUGGAAUAUACAGCCAUCUUUCACCUUGGGCUGAGGCAGCAGCACCGGAUGGUAAUUAGUAAGACAGCGGAGGAAUAACCCACUUGGUUGUUUCCAGCAGGAAAAGGUAUCUGACAGCUCAUGAUCUUACGGAAGGCCCUGAACAAUGGCAAGAGAGGCCUGGUUCAAAUUCCAGCCGUGCCACUCUCAAGCAAGCUCCUUGUGCAAAAGUGUCCCUCCACUUACAGAACCACGUCAGUGAGGCUACUGAGUGAACGGAACGGGGUUGUUGCUAUUUGUUUUUGAAUACGGUAAGGAUUUGAUUGGAAUCACAGGAAGUCGCUGACGUUUGAAUGAUGUAAGCGUGUGGAUGGUGAAGGUGCUUGCCACCAAGCCUCACAACCUGAGUUUGACUGCCAGGACCCAUCUGUGUAAAAGGAGAGUCUUGACUCCCUCAAGUCUGCUGUUGAGGUCACCAGUGAAGGAAUAAAUGCUUUGUUUUUUUUAAAGAUU